rnacentral:rRNA from 1 species
AACGAACGCUGGCGGCACGUUUUAAGCAUGCAAAUCGAAUGGCAGCAGGGGCAACUCUGUGAGAAUGGCGAACGGGUGAGUAACACGUAGGUGAUCUGCCUUGAGGAUGGGGAUAGCCUGUGGAGACACAGGGUAAUACCGAAUGAGCUGACGAGACUUUGGUUUUGUUAGUAAAGGUGCUACGGCACCGCCUUGAGAGGAGCCUGCGGCUGAUUAGCUAGUUGGUGGGGUAAGAGCUUACCAAGGCGACGAUCAGUAGCCGGCCUGAGAGGGUGUACGGCCACACUGGAACUGAGACACGGUCCAGACUCCUACGGGAGGCAGCAGCUAAGAAUCUUCCGCAAUGGGCGAAAGCCUGACGGAGCGAUGCCGCGUGAUCGAUGAAGGUCGAGAGAUUGUAAAGAUCCUUUCUACAUGAGGAAUAAGUCUGGGAGGGAAUGCCCGGAUGAUGACGUUAGUGUAGGAAUAAGCCCCGGCUAAUUACGUGCCAGCCGCCGCGGUAA